GACGAACGCUGGCGGCGUGCUUAACACAUGCAAGUCGAACGGAAAGGCCCUGCUUUUGUGGGGUGCUCGAGUGGCGAACGGGUGAGUAACACGUGAGUAACCUGCCCUUGACUUUGGGAUAACUUCAGGAAACUGGGGCUAAUACCGGAUAGGAGCUCCUGCUGCAUGGUGGGGGUUGGAACGUUUCGGCGGUUGGGGAUGGACUCGCGGCUUAUCAACUUGUUGGUGGGGUAGUGGCUUACCAAGGCUUUGACGGGUAGCCGGCCUGGGAGGGUGACCGGCCACAAUGGGCCUGAGAGAGGGCCCAGACUCCUACGGGAGGCAGCAGGGGGGAAUAUUGCACAAUGGGCGGAAGCCUGAUGCAGGAACGCCGCGUGCGGGAUGACGGCCUUCGGGCUGUAAACCGCUUUCGCCUGUGACGAAGCGUGAGUGACGGUAAUGGGUAAAGAAGCACCGGCUAACUACGUG
rnacentral:rRNA from 1 species